rnacentral:rRNA from 1 species
UACGGAGGGUGCGAGCGUUGUCCGGAAUCAUUGGGCGUAAAGGGCGCGUAGGUGGCCCGGUCAGCGUGCGGUGAAAGCUCGGGGCUCAACCCCGAGUCGGCCGUGCGAACUGCUGGGCUCGAGCACUGUAGAGGCAGGCGGAAUUCCGGGUGUAGCGGUGGAAUGCGUAGAGAUCCGGAAGAACACCGGUGGCGAAGGCGGCCUGCUGGGUUCUGGCUGACACUGAGGCGCGACAGCGUGGGGAGCAAACAGGAUUAGAAACCCUGUAGUCC